UACGAAGGGGGCUAGCGUUGUUCGGAAUCACUGGGCGUAAAGGGCGCGUAGGCGGCUUUAUAAGUCGGGGGGUGAAAGCCUGUGGCUCAACCACAGAAUUGCCUUCGAUACUGUAGAGCUUGAGACCGGAAGAGGUAAGUGGAACUGCGAGUGUAGAGGUGAAAUUCGUAGAUAUUCGCAAGAACACCAGUGGCGAAGGCGGCUUACUGGUCCGGUUCUGACGCUGAGGCGCGAAAAGCGUGGGGGAGCAAACAGG
rnacentral:rRNA from 1 species